AGCCAAGGGUCUGUCUUCUGCAGAGGCUCACCUUGGAAAGGGAGGUGGCAUGGAGAGGGAGGCCAAGGCUGACUAGGGGCGUCCCUGGGAGAGACCCAGCUACUGCGAGGAUGAGGGGUAGGGGGGUUCUACCCAAGUUCCGGGGGCUGGCUGGGAACUCGGAGGCCAAUCUCCUUCAGCUGUUCCCAUCUCUUCCCAGGGCAAAAAUCAAACCAUCACCCCCUCUCCCUCCUCCCCAAGGAGAGGACAAUUUCCGUUCUGGGAGGGGGGUGACAGCUGCAGAGCGGGCCACUCCCCACCCCCCCAAGCUCCAGCCUGACUCUCAUCUAGGGAAACUGCUAAAUCAACAAUACGCAGUUACGGGUAGGUAGCCCGCCGGCCUGAGUUUCCCCGCACGGCUCUCAGAAAGGGGUUUAGAGGGGGCUUCGGUCUCAGUUCCCGGUUUUCUAGUGGCGGUUGGAAACCAAGGCACGGGCAUCUUUCAGGAGGGGGAUCAGGUGAAGCUUAGGCCAGUAGGUCCCCCAAGACGUCUAAUUUAAAUACUCCCAACUGCAAAGGACAGACGCCCCCCACCCCGCGGCCUGGGGCAGCUGAGGUGGAGCCGGGCGUUCAAAUCGCGCUCCAAACAAGUCCGCAGCGACCGCGCUCGCAGCCCCCGCCAGGCGGCCCCAGCGGAAAACUUGAAAGGGACUCUGUUUGCCGGCGGCCCUGGGGCGGCUCCGGCGGGGGCGAGGGCCGAGCGAUCUCACACACGCCCCCUCCCCAACGCUUCCAAAGAAAAUGCGGGGGUGGGGGGGACAGGGCCCACCACAAAUCCAAGGGCUCCAAACAGCGCCCGCCGCGCGAGGAAAGGUGGGGGUCAGGAGUCUGGUCCGCUGGUCACCCCCUUAGCUCCCCCCCCAUCCGAAGGCGCGACUCUCAGACCACCCAAAGUCCAGGGGGCAAAGGAGGGCGCGGUUGCCAAACCUUCAGACCCCCGUCGCGGGAGACUUCAGGGAGCGGGUCUUUCCGAAUGAGUCACUACAGAACCCCCCAAAUUUACUGGUGCUUCCUUGCAGCCCGAGGCACCAGCCCAACUCCGCGCACCCCUUCAGAUUCCCGGGGGGGAAAAAAGAACAAAAAGAGAUCUUGCUCCCACUUUGGGCGUUUCAGCUCUUCUGACAGGUCCCGAAGGUGGCCCCCCAUUUAAAAACCGGGGUCACUCGCUUUCCGUCGAUCCUACAAAUAAACAAAGCCAGGCGCACCCCGCGCUCCCCGCCGGAAAGCAGCCCAUUCCGGGCGAGGACAACUUCCCCCAGCCAGAAAAUUAACACAUUCCUCUCGCGGCGGUUCAGCCCCUCACUCCGCUCCGGGGAAGCGAAGGGGAGGGGGGUCGGGCCGAACUUCAUGGGUAAAUUUGGGGCCAGUGCAGCGUGGCAGGCGCCGGGGACGUACGCCCCCCACAGUUCCGCAGCUAGAGGAACACCCCCAUUCUCCCUCCCAGGCUCUGCACGCUGCGUGGCCCACGCGGGGCUCGGGAGACAGCUCAAAAGACUCCCCAAGGCUGGGAAAGGAGGGAGGGAGGGGCCGCGGGGCACCGUGGUGGUGGGGGAGAUACUUUGAUGGAAAAAAAAGGUCAAACUUCAUCAGCCCGCCGGGCACCCCGCGGGCAGCGGGGGCGAGGAGCCGGAGGAAAAAUGCAGAAGUAGCCGCCGCUUCUUCCAAGUGGUGGGGGAGGCUCAGCCACGCGUGGUCGAGGGCGCCCAGAGCAGUUAACGUCGCCCCUCAACACAGGGCUGCGAGCGGGGUCUGAUGGGGGGAGUGCGCGCCAGAGAUCUACAAGCAGCCGCCCCCGCAGGCUGAGCGCCCGCCCAACGCCAAGAGUGAUCUGCGACCGAGCAUACUGCGGCUUAGGGAGGCUUGGGUAUAGCAGCGGCCACCAAGCGAUCACCGGCGCUAGGUCUCCCAGGCUCCGGGGCUCCGCGGCUUACGGUGCGGGCGCCCCCCGCCCCUCCCAAAUACGGACCCCUCCUUCCCCGUCCCCGGCUCUCCGCACCUGAACUUCGG
rnacentral:lncRNA from 1 species